rnacentral:misc_RNA from 1 species
CUUGUCUUCUCUGGUCUAAUUGCAAGCAGCAUUUACGACAGAGAAGCUGAAAGGCAAGCUCAAGAGCACCAUCACCACAAGUGGAAUGCAGGAUCAACCUUUUCUCGCUUUCAUCUGGAUGAACCACUGAAGUGUGAAGGUGCUGUAUGCUACUUCCUUAGUUCCAUGAUUAUGUCAGGCUUUUGCAUUAUUGCAUUUGUCUUGAGCAUGAUUCUUGUGCAUCGGACUAAGAU